rnacentral:rRNA from 1 species
UGCCAGACUCCUACGGGAGGCAGCAGUGGGGGAUAUUGCACAAUGGGGGGAACCCUGAUGCAGCGACGCCGCGUGGGUGAAGAAGCGCCUCGGCGCGUAAAGCCCUGUCAGCAGGGAAGAAAAUGACGGUACCUGAGGAAGAAGCCCCGGCUAACUACGUGCCAGCAGCCGCGGUAAUACGUAAGGAGCAAGCGUUAUCCGGAUUUACUGGGUGUAAAGGGCGUGUAGGCGGGACUGCAAGUCAGAUGUGAAACCCAUGGGCUCAACCCAUGGCCUGCAUUUGAAACUGUAGUUCUUGAGUGAUGGAGAGGCAGGCGGAAUUCCGUGUGUAGCGGUGAAAUGCGUAGAUAUACGGAGGAACACCAGUGGCGAAGGCGGCCUGCUGGACAUUAACUGACGCUGAGGCGCGAAAGCGUGGGGAGCAAACAGGAUUAGAUACCCCUGUA